GUCAGGAUGGCCGAGCGGUCCACGGCGCUGCGUUCAGGUCGCAGUCCGGUCUUCCGGGCGUGGGUUCGAAUCCCACUUCUGACA
rnacentral:tRNA from 1 species